rnacentral:sRNA from 2 species
CAAAUGCCCCAAGCGCAAUGUUAGCGUUUGCAAGAUGGUUCAAAGAAACUUUCCAGAGCACUUCAUCAACAUCAAUAUCCAUUCGUGAUUUGUUAGCAUGGGUUGGUUUUGUAAACCAAUGCAAAGAUCUCGAUCAAGCUGCUGCGGUGGUCCAUGGGGCGGCUCUGGUGUAUAUAGAUACCCUGGGUGCCAACCCUUCUGCCAUGUUUGUUUCAGGUCCGGCAAAUCUCAAACACGAUCGACUUAAAUGUCUUGAGAGAUUGGGUGAAAUUUUUGGUUUUGACGCUGUCUCUAUCUAUUACCAAGCAACUACUAUAUCUAUGGAA